rnacentral:rRNA from 1 species
UACGAAGGGUGCAAGCGUUACUCGGAAUUACUGGGCGUAAAGCGUGCGCAGGCGGGCGCUUAAGCCAGACGUGAAAUCCCCGAGCUUAACUUGGGAAUGGCGUUUGGGACUGGGCGACUAGAGUGCGGCAGAGGGGGGUGGAAUUCCAGGUGUAGCAGUGAAAUGCGUAGAGAUCUGGAGGAACACCGAUGGCGAAGGCAGCCCCCUGGGCCGGCACUGACGCUCAGGCACGAAAGCGUGGGGAGCAAACAGG